GCCAAGCUUCAUUAAGAGGAAUAUAAGCAACUGCUAGAUGCACAAACAAGCAGUUAAUUACAGAUAGGGUGAAGUUAUCCACAAUGGCCUUGGUUAACUUCUUCAUUUAUGGCCUACCCUUGUGUCCCCUUGGUGCUGCACCUGUCUUUCCUUCUGUAAGAAAAUACUGCUCCACAUGCCUCCAGCUGCCAAGGAAUCCGUACUGGGCAGGCUUUUAAAAGGACAAUAACGAUGGGGGCUCGAGCGACGGAAACAACUCGGGAACUGGAAAGCACCUCUAUAAAGUAUCAAAUAGGAGGACAUGCAG